GCGGCAAUAGCUCAGUUGGUAGAGCACGACCUUGCCAAGGUCGGGGUCGCGAGUUCGAGCCUCGUUUGCCGCUC
rnacentral:tRNA from 1 species